rnacentral:rRNA from 1 species
GAUGAACGCUGGCGGCGUGCCUAAUACAUGCAAGUCGAGCGAACAGACGAGGAGCUUGCUCCUCGGACGUUAGCGGCGGACGGGUGAGUAACACGUGGAUAACCUACCUAUAAGACUGGGAGAACUUCGGGAAACCGGAGCUAAUACCGGAUAAUAUAUUGAACCGCAUGGUUCAAUAGUGAAAGACGGUUUUGCUGUCACUUAUAGAUGGAUCCGCGCCGCAUUAGCUAGUUGGUAAGGUAACGGCUUACCAAGGCGACGAUGCGUAGCCGACCUGAGAGGGUGAUCGGCCACACUGGAACUGAGACACGGUCCAGACUCCUACGGGAGGCAGCAGUAGGGAAUCUUCCGCAAAGGGCGAAAGCCUGACGGAGCAACGCCGCGUGAGUGAUGAAGGUCUUCGGAUCGUAAACCUCUGUUAUUAGGGAAGAACAAAUGUGUAAGUAACUAUGCACGUCUUGACGGUACCUAAUCAGAAAGCCACGGCUAACUACGUG